AGCGAACGCUGGCGGAAUGCUUAACACAUGCAAGUCGCACGCCCUGCAAGGGGAGUGGCGGACGGGUGAGUAACGCGUAGGAAUAUGUCCAGAGGUGGGGGACAACCCUGGGAAACUGGGGCUAAUACCGCAUAUGGGCUGAGGCCCAAAGCAGUGAUGCGCCUUUGGAGUAGCCUGCGUCCGAUUAGCUUGUUGGUGGGGUAAAGGCUUACCAAGGCGACGAUCGGUAGCUGGUCUGAGAGGACGACCAGCCACACUGGGACUGAGACACGGCCCAGACUCCUACGGGAGGCAGCAGUGGGGAAUAUUGGACAAUGGGCGCAAGCCUGAUCCAGCAAUUCCGCGUGGGUGAAGAAGGUCUUCGGGUUGUAAGGCCCUUUCGACGGGGACGAUGAUGACGGUACCCGUAGAAGAAGCCCCGGCUAACUUCGUGCCAGCAGCCGCGGUAA
rnacentral:rRNA from 1 species